rnacentral:lncRNA from 1 species
CUGUCAAAUAUGGUCAGUUUUGAUUGAUGCAGACAAAUAAUUUUAUCAUAUGAGUCAUUGAUUUCCAAUAUUGCAGCUAUCUAUAUACUACAGUCCCUCUUGACCUAACAUUAUAACUGAAUUACUGUGCAGCUAUAUAGGUUUACAUAAAAAAAAGCAAAUUUGGUCAGUUUUGGUUGAUGCGGUCAAAAGAUUUUAUUACACGACUCAGUCUGAA